ensembl:lncRNA
CUGAUCCAAAAUCCUCAAAGCUUCAUAGAACUGAAACAAACAUUUAUUUUUAGCUCCAUUCUGCUGCUGAUACAGACUUUAGGUUUCUGAACAUUACACUUGUUGCUGCCUUUCAUAGUGUGUAACUUGAAGGCCCUGAGUACUUUCUCCCACACUGAAAACACUGGGAUGAUCACAUUAUUUGAACAUUACCUAAUAAGACUGAUUCAGGACAGACAAUUAGUUAUGUUAAACUUUCCUAGCAGUCCUUCACAAACAGGGAACAGUCUGUCUAUUCUCUCCAUCUGUCAGCUGCUGCUGGCUCUUCCUCCUCCUCUUCCUCACACACUGCUGAGUUUGUCCUGGUGGAUCAUCAGGGCUGCAAAGCCUCAUAGAUGAUAUGCAGCAGUGGGUCCCUCAGUCUGUCCUCACUCUGGACACUUGCAGUCGUCACACAUGGAAAUCAAAUGUGUGAUAAGCUGCAGGAUUCAAACACAAGUGUAACUUAUAAACACAUGUUCAUACUUUUAUUCCACAAUCAGAAAGAAACAGAGAGAGAGUGCAGGACAGACAGACAGGUGACAGUCUCAGGUGUACACACUGCUACAAACAGGAGGAUUUAGUGUUUGUGUUAUUACGAGUGCUAAACAAGAAGAGUUCCAGAUGGUGCAGUGGACACAUGUGUGACUGCUGUGAUUAAAGCAUCUUUCUUUCAGCUUAACGAGUGAACCGUCAGCUCGUUCAAACACACGUUAAAGUCCGUUUGGCUCGACACCACCGAACAGAGGCAGCAAUAUAACAUAGCUAACAUUAACAGUGCAGUGAAUCCUGCUGGUGCCGUGAUAUUCAGGACUGCAAACCGAGCAGCAUCACUGACUUUCAGCUUGUUGUGUUUGUGGAUAUAUGACUGACUUUAAUUAUCCAUAAAAUCAUCAGAUUCUCUGUAAGAUUAAGGUCGACUAUCGAACGGCGUAUAAAGGCUUUAAAACAAAGUAAACGCUGAAAGUUCAAACAUCGCUAAUGUCACAUAACUUUGCCGGCAUGUGGCCAACAGUAAUGUUUUAAUGUUUCUCAUUAUUAAACAUUUGCACAUAAAUAAGUGACAUAACAUUCAGUACUUACUUUUGAAAGUUUACUCUUUGGCUGCUCCGCUUCCACUUCUUUGAAGUGUCUCCCAGUCCCAGUGCACUUGUUAGCAUGUUUUGGUUCAUGCAACUGGUCCGUCCGCUUAUUGUCUCCCCAGAAACAUUUCCGUUGUGUUGUGUGUGCUUUUGCAGCGUUUUUCUUUUUGCAGCGUUUUUCUUUUUGCAGCAUUUUUCUUUUUGCAGCGUUUUUCUUUUUUGCAGCGUUUUUCUUUUUGCAGCAUUUUUCUUUUUGCAGCGUUUUUCUUUUCGCAGCAUUUUUCUUUUUGCAGCAUUUUUCUUUUUGCAGCAUUUUUCUUUUUGCAGCAUUUUUCUUUUUGCAGGUGUUUUUCUUUUUGCAGCGUUUUUCUUUUUGCAGCAUUUUUCUUUUUGCGGCAUUUUUCUUUUUGCAGCGUUUUUCUUUUCGCAGCAUUUUUCUUUUUGCAGCAUUUUUUCUUUUUGCAGCGUUUUUCUUUUUGCAGCAUUUUUCUUUUUGCAAGUGUUUUCUGAAGUUGCAGUCCGUUUGGCCUCUCAGGGCCACCGUAAAAAAAAAAAGGCUUUAGGAUAUAAGGUUUCCUGGAAUAAUCUACAAAUUGAGCUAAAAUUGUCAGAAACGAGAGAACAGCUCUUUUGGUCAGUGUUCUUGUUUUGGUCAUUUAUUGCACACAACUCAUACAUUUGUGUUCACUGGUCUGUACAGAAUAUAGUAUUUAAACAUUCUGAAUGAAUAUUGGUUCUUUACUUGUUAUAUUAUUAGUGGUAUUUGUUGUAACAUCUUCUGCCCCCUGCUGGUCUCUCUUGGAAAUAUGAGAAACGAGUCUUUUGUCUGGAUUAACUGCAAAUAAUGAAAGAACAGCUUGUCCACAUGCAGCCUCUGUGUCAGAUCAAUGCAGUGAAGCACACACACUGUUUAGUAAAGUCAUGUUGUGGAGCUGUUUCACUGAUCAGUGACUGAGUCUGAAGAAGGUUUUCUGACUUCUGGAACAAACCUGGAAGUUUCUCUUCAGCUCUCUGUAUCAGCUGUGUGUAACUCUCAACUCUUUCAGCUUCUGGAGCAAGUUUGUGUGAGCUCUACUUGUGUAUAGUACGGGACACUCACCUGAUUUAUAAUAUUGACGGAAAUAACAUAUGAGACUUCCAGAAACCAAAAGAAAAAUCAGCAGAAUCAGGAGAGCUUUGGCCCAGGAUGGAAACCGUUCUGUGAAGUUCAGAAAAACAUGACCUUUGACCUCUGACUGAAUGUGGUGAUAUAUUUUAUUGAACAUACCUCAAGCUAAUAUUUUUUGAGUGAACAUAUUUAUGCAGCAAUAAAAUAGUAAAGUUUUAUCUGAGUGAUGUCAGAUUUGUCUACAGCAGGUGUUUGUUGUUGACCUUUGACCUGCAGCUGUACAUCACUCCGACUCAGCUCAUCUCCAAAGUCUCUGACGGAGCAGGUGUAGGUGGCGCUGUCAGACAGUUGGAGGUUGGUUAGGUUCAGGCUGAGGUCUCCAGUUUCCAGAGCGUCAGCCUUCAUGGAUGUUCGGCCGCUGUAACGCUGGUUUUGAUCUUUCAGUUCGUCUCCUUGAAGCUGACGCUGGUGGACGGUUGGAGGACUGAGGUCGGAGCGACUCCACACCACUGUGGAUUUAGUCAGAUUAAAAGUGUCGACGUGACAGGGCAGGAUGAACGUGUCCCCCUCAUGCAGCUCCACAGCUGAGGCAUGCUGGGAAACUGGGGACACACAGAAAGAGACUCCAUGAGUCACUUUAAGGUGAAGAUCAAGUUUAGACACAUUUACAGAAACCAGGAGACAGAACGACAGAAACAUUCAACAUUUUAACAACUCAUUAAAAAGAACACAGCGCAGAUCAGAGGCAGGAAGUCCAUCACAUAAAAAUGUCAAACUAAGUCCAAAGUCUGAAACAGUGAGAAGUUCUAACAACAACCCAACAAAGAACAUUACCUCCUACGUUCUGUUCCUAACUACUGUGUACACCAUGUGAUAGUUGCUUGUUGUAGUUCUUAUGUAUUUGGUGACUUAUUUGGAAAGACAGGGCGAGAUGUUCUCAGCAUUUGUUGGUAACUGGUGGGUCAAACCCGCAAACAAAAACUUUGUCUCUAUCCUGUAACUGUUCGUCUCCAAAAGCUCAGGAUUACAACCAUAAAUAACAAAAACCAUGACAGUGUGUCAGGCACGGAUCAAGGUUUGUUUAAAGAAAAUAUCUUUCUGACACAUGCACAACUGAAACCA